CUUGAAUAACAGUAGUCGCUGGAUGCGUCUGAGAGCGGUACAUACGUUGCAAUAUAGCCGUUAUUACAACUGAGUAAGGUGUUAGUGUUUAAUAUGCGCCGUGUCUGCACUGUACCUUUUAGAGACGUGGCGUCAUUUGUCGAUGCUUUUGAAUAGCAAGUCUUAGAGCUCGACGAGAUGCAGUCCCGGCUGGAAGCGCUGCGGUCUUAGAGCGGGCACUUGGAAGAAGGUUAAACGAGCGCAGGAGUCGAGUAACAAACGCCUUUAUGUAAAUAUUAAUUAUUGUUGUAACGAUUAAGUUCGCGCUAGUGAAGUGGUGAUCGUUUUUGAGAUUUGCGCAUCUUCGAGCUUAAUAUUGUUUAAUUUCUAUCUAUGUUUCAUUUACUUGCUGUGCAACUGAUCUGUCUAAAAAUAUAAUUUAUGGGAAUAAUUGGAGUACCUUUACAAUGCUCUCAGUUGAAAUACUGCUUCGUAGAUUUUUAUAGAUAUGCAAAUACUUGAAUUUUAUUUAUAUAACGUCACAUUGUGUACGUUACGCAAAUGCAAUCGCAAACUAACUAAAAAAAGCGUAUUGAACAAUGUAUUUAAAUGUAUUUUUUUACAUAUUAUUAUUCGGUAUUGUGAAAUCGCAAAUGGUGUUUAAUUAAAACUAAUUAAAAAUAGCAACAUUUGAUUCUAUUGUUAUGUUUAAACCUAAUUGGCUCCUUGUAAUUAAUGUUAUACUGGUCGAAUGUCUAUUUAAAUAUUAUGUUAUUAUUUAAAUUCAUAAUAACUGAUGUGUUCUUAGAUGUACAAAAUUAAGUGCAAAUUGCUAAUGUAGUUUUUCGAAGCAUCGUGUAUACUUACAAACUUAAAACAUGAAGAUUUGUUAUAAAAAAUCGUUUAAAGAACAACAGUUUCCAUUAAUUUUAUGAGUAUACUUAAAUAGUCAAGCAAU